GAAUUCUUCAGUCAAAGCAGCCAACUUACUCAGCACCACAAAGUUCAAACCGAGAAAUGCCUUAUGAGUGCAGUAAAUGUGGAAUAGUCUUCAGUCAGUGGUCUGCUAUAAUUGAGCAGUGAAUGUGGGAAAGGCUUCAGCCAAAGAUCCAACCUUAUUCAACACCAGAAAGUUCAUACUAAAGAAAGGCCCUAGAAUGAGAUGGAGAUAGCAGGGAAUGUGCUAUCUCCAUAUUUAUUGCAUCAACACAUUGGAAAGCCUCAGUAAUGGAGUCAUCAGCAGGAAGUGAACACCAUGCAUCUGAACAUUCAUGGUGGGGACAUUUCUUAUGAGUACCAGGCUCAGGCAGCUUUUAAGCAGCUAUAUUUUGUUUUCUGAGUACUUUCACACUGAAUCUCUACAGUAGAAGCCAUCAUCUCAGUUGGUGUUUGCUAGUCACCUCAGUGUGCUCAGACUUCUUUGCUGUCCCCCUCUCCAGAGGAAUCAUAAGUAGCCUGGACCUUUGUUUAUUGUCAUUCCACCCGACUAGGAUAUGGCCCUAACCAGCUUUGACCAACAAAACCCAGUUUGUCUUCUGCUGGUGCCAAGUCUUUCCUUCUUUGGCCACAUUAUGAGACACCUAUGAUCUUUAUGAUGAAUUUUUCUAGCCUUCAGGCCAUCAGUCUGGGAACUACAUGCAUGUGUGAGAGUAAAAAUUUAAUGUUUAAGCCACAUUCUUUCUCCCUUCUAUUUUUAAAAAAAUUUUCAGUGCUGGGAAUUAAAUGCAGAAGCCCUCUACCACUGAGCUGCAUCCCUAGCCCUUUUUAUUUUGCUUUGAGAUAGGAUCUUGCUAUUCUGCUGAGGCUGGCCUUGAACUUAGAAUCCUCCUCCUUUAGCCCAAUCAUGGGGUUAUAGGCAUGUACCCCCACACCUGAGUAAGCCAUAUUUCAUCUCAAAAGUUUCUGUUCACUGGCCGAGAUGGCUUGAGAACAGAAUUGGUCUUACUUGCUUUGUUGUCAGGCCUCCAGAGAUAGACUGUAGGACCUAUUGUGACUAGCCUUGUGAUCUGAUUGUCAGGACUUUUUGAAGGUCUGGCAGUCACCAGAGGUGGGGACAGUUAUGGGGACCACGUGUCCUUUGUGGGGAAGUAUAAAUUGGUUUCUUUUUCUCAUGUGAGGUUACACAGUGUCCAUUACUGUUGACUGAAACUGUUCUCUGGGGCCUAUAAAAGAAUCGUGCUUUAGCAGCCAGAAUUGGGGAGGUUUGUGUUACUGAUGUUUGCACUACAAGAAUCAGAUGAGAACCAUGUUUUGUUACAGAAACAUUGAUUAUGAGUGAUGGUAAACUGGAGUUGAUGUGCCCAUUUGAACACUGUGUCUUGAAAUGUUCUGGGGACUAUGGCUAUUUAAGAUGAGGGGUUUACAGAAACCUCAACCUAUAGAGCCAUCUCCUGUGGUAAAUCACCUCCAAGACCUUAAAACUUUAUGCCUGAGAAGAAUGUUUUGUUCACACAGGGCCUUGAGCCAUGCCAGAUAGUUUAUGUUAGUAAUGUGUUUUAUGAUAGGACCUUAGGUCUCCUAAUACUAAUCUGAUGUCUGUAGGGGCCAAGUAAUUAAGGGGAGCUGCACAAGUGUCCCUUGUCUAGGUGACAAAACAACAACAAAAAGUGUGGACCUCUGUGCCUGGUGAUGCACAUCUGUAAUCCCAGUGGCUCAGGAGGCUGAGGCAGGAGGAUUGUGAGUACAAAGCCAGCCUCAGCUACUUAAUGAGGCCCUAAGCAAUUUAUAAGACCCUGUCUCUAAAUAUUUUUUAAAAAGCAGCGGGGUGGGGGGAGCGGGGUUGGAGAUGUGGCUUAGUAGCUAAUGACCCCCGGUUUAAUCCUUCAUACAAAAAUAAAAAGUGGAACAAGGCUUGGGUGAGUUUCCCUGGUUGGCAGUAAUUCUUGUGUGUGGUCAAACAUUAUUGCUGGAGAUUUAAGUACUGUUUGCAUGACUCCACUGGAGGGGCAAGUUUGAUACUUGUGCUUGCUCUCUAGAUUCUGCCCUGUGCACCUCUUUAUUUUCUUUUAACUUUGGGUACCAGGUAUGGAACCCAAAGCCUCAUGCAUGCCGUGGAUGUGCUCUACUAAUGAGUUAACCUCGCCCCCCAGCUCUUUGUUGAUAUGAAUUUCUUUGUAAUAUAUUCACUAACAUCUUUACCCAGUUCCUUGAGUCUUUCUAUUGAAUUAUUGAAUUUGAGGUGGCUUUGGGGAUUCAACAACACAUUUACAUGGUUUUUUUUU
rnacentral:lncRNA from 1 species